rnacentral:rRNA from 1 species
GUUGGUAGGGUAGUGGCCUACCAAGGCAACGAUCAGUAGCCGGCCUGAGAGGGUGGACGGCCACACUGGGACUGAGACACGGCCCAGACUCCUACGGGAGGCAGCAGUGGGGAAUAUUGCGCAAUAGGGGAAACCCUGACGCAGCGACGCCGCGUGAGCGAAGAAGGCCUUAGGGUUGUAAAGCUCUGUUGUAAGGGAAGAAGAACUUAAGCGAGAAUAUUGUUUAAGAGUGACGGUACCUUACUAGAAAGCCCCGGCUAACUACGUGCCAGCAGCCGCGGUAAGACGUAGGGGGCGAGCGUUGUCCGGAAUUACUGGGCGUAAAGAGCACGUAGGCGGAUAUUUAAGUCAGAUGUGAAAGACCGCAGCUCAACUGCGGGGUUGCAUUUGAAACUGGGUAUCUUGAGGGCAGGAGAGGGCAGUGGAAUUCCUGGUGUAGCGGUGAAAUGCGUAGAAAUCAGGAGGAACACCAGUGGCGAAGGCGACUGUCUGGACUGACCCUGACGCUGAGGUGCGAAAGCGUGGGUAGCAAACAGGAUUAGAUACCCUGGUAGUCCACGCCGUAAACGAUGGAUACUAGGUGUAGGAGGUAUCGACCCCUUCUGU